ensembl:lncRNA
CUCCAUCCACAAGCAGAAAACUUAUUUGCAAUAAAGGGAGCACUGUAACCUUGUAGCCUUUACUUCUUUUCUUCCGUAAGCCAGUAAAGAGGAUAUGAGUGCUAUGCAAUUUAUGUGCCCACUACACGCUCCUAUUUACAUCUUAAAAAUACACCCUCAUUAAGCCCUUCAGUGUUAUCUGUGAUCUUUGAAGCAAAUGCUUUGGGUGCUGAUAUGCUAUCUCUGCUGGCAGAGCCUCCUUUCCCCGGCUGUGAGUGUCUCCAACACGUUGCAGCCUGUUUGCUCAGCCUGAUAAUGUCUUCACAUAGGACUUAAUGAACUCAUUACCCUUAAUGCCAUCGUAACAAGAGAGCUUGAUUAAUUAAGGGAGACCUGGAAAUGGCAACUUCAAAGCUGGUAGAAAAACUCAGAAUCUGCUCAGGAAUAAUGGUUACUGUGAAGGCGUUCUCUUUAACAGUGACUUUCUCACUACUUUACUUCAGUACAAAGAAAAUAAAAGCAAAUUCGCAUUAUGUCUGAAAGCAAAUGAAAGCUGUGGGUCCUCUGUUUCACAUGAAACCACCUCUGAGGAGCUCCGGGCAGAGCGGAGGCUGCGUUCGUUGGUUGCUCUUUGCGUUAAUGACUCCUCUGACAGAAACUGGAUCCUGAAAUGCAAAGAUUGGAAAUGAAAGGGGACAUAAUCUAAAAAAUUGUUGUUUCGAAUAUAUGUCAAAAUUGGAUUUGCAUUUCAAAAACCUGUGCCAAAACCCUUUUGUACCUUUUGUUUUCAUUUGUCCUUUAACGAAAGAGGGUUCCGUUGGGCUGCUGGGGCUUUUAAAGCUGGAACCGUUGUUUCCAGGCAGACCAACAGCAGGAUCUCCAUUUGUUGAGAUGCACCCGUUUAGAUACGACAUCAAUUUAAUUUAUUUGUAUCGAUUUUGGCAAAUCAAAUCUAAAUGCACCCUAUUUUUUUUCAAACGUGAAUGUAUUUCUCCAAGUGAAGCAGCACUUCUUUUCUUACAACUUAAGAAAUGUUUUUCAGCUUUGUUUGUUCAUCCGUAACUUUACACAGUCAUCCACCGAUUAGCCCAGCUGAAUCCUGGUGUGUUUGUCUGACGAAUGACUGCUUAAACAGAAUUCUUUCUCCAAGUUGUUACUAAAAAGAGAAUCUCAUACUUGCAGAGCGUAUCUCUGAUACGAUGCUCACUCGUUUACAUCUUACUCCUGAAACCAGUAACGCAAUUUUACUUCCCCUCAG